rnacentral:misc_RNA from 1 species
GAAAUGCGAUAAGUAAUGUGAAUUCGAGAAUUUAGUGAAUCAUCGAAUCUUUGAACGCACCUUCCGCUCCUUGGUAUUCCGAGGGGCAUGCCUCAUUGAGUGUCAUUAAAUUCUCAACCUCACCAAUUUUUGUAAUGAAAGUUGUGUGCAGGCUUGGAUGUGGGGGUUUGCAGGUCCGCCUCUUGGUGGUCUCCUCCUCUGAAAUGCAUUAGUGGGUUGUGCCCCUAAUCUAUUGGUGUGAUAAUUAUCUACGCCGUGGAUCAGGUUGGCUACUAUAGACCUGCCUCUAACCGUCCGUCUCGCACAACUUUGACAUUUUUGACCUCAAAUCAGGUAAGACUACCCGCUGAACUUAA